rnacentral:lncRNA from 1 species
CAUGGCUCCAAUGAAUCACCCAGCUCCAGUGGAAGUCACAUACGGGAACAUGAGAUUUCUUAUUAUACACAACCCAACCAAUUCGACCUUAAACAGAUUUUUAGAAGAACUUAAGAAAUACGGGGUUACCACAAUAGUAAGAGUAUGUGAAGCAACUGAUGACCCUGCUCUUGUGGAGAAAGAAGGCCAAUCCAGUUUCUGGAUUGGGCUUUUGAUGAUGGUUCAUCACCAUCCAACCAGAUUGUUGAUCACUGCUUAAGUCUUCUAGACGUUAAGUUUCGUGAAGAACCUGGUUGUUGUAUUGCCUUCACUGUGUUGCAGGUCUUGGGAGGACUCCAGUGCUUGUUGCCCUAGCAUUAAUUGAAAGUGGAAUGAAAAACGAAGAUGCAGUACGGUUUAUUAGAGAUAAACGGCACGGCGCUUUUAACAGCAAGCAACUUUUGUAUUUGGAGAAAUAUCAUUCUCAAAUGCGGCUUCG